UACGGAGGGGACUAGCGUUGUUCGGAAUUACUGGGCGUAAAGCGCACGUAGGCGGAUUUGUAAGUCAGGGGUGAAAUCCCGGGGCUCAACCUCGGAACUGCCUUUGAUACUGUCGAUCUGGAGUAUGGAAGAGGUGAGUGGAAUUCCGAGUGUAGAGGUGAAAUUCGUAGAUAUUCGGAGGAACACCAGUGGCGAAGGCGGCUCACUGGUCCAUUACUGACGCUGAGGUGCGAAAGCGUGGGGAGCAAACAGG
rnacentral:rRNA from 1 species